CAGUGACACACAAUGGGGUAAAACAAGGGUAAACUGAUGGUGUUUUUACAAGAUUGAGGAAUUUAAUAGAAUUUUUGUGGAGUUUCUUCUCGACAGCCUGGAUCACUUUCCACAAGCUUGAUGGUCCCUGUGUGCCUGUAUGUGUCCUGUGUUUGAGUGGUCAGCAUCCAGUCCAUCUGUGUUAGCUGCCACAAAACACCAGGAGCCUUUUGAACUGCAAGCUCCUAGAGGUGAAAGGUCACCUGGCAGGUGGCAGAAGAAGGUCAAGGACAUGUCAGACAUGAGAAGUUACCAAUGUUUCUGACAGGGAUUUGGCCCUUCUUCUCACGGGUCAUGACUUCCCUCUGUGCCUAGCGCCAGAGGCGGUUUGUUCUCUGCUUAAGAGGGAUAUAACUUCCUUGACCCUUUCAUAUAAAUUCUUGUGAUUGGGAGUUCUGCUGUCACAACACCAACUAAGGGGCAUUAAGUGCAAGCCUGAAAGGAUUUGGCAUUGAUCUUGGGAGUAUGAGAGAUGGAGAAAACAUUUUUCCAUGGGUUUGCUUUGAAAUUACUUGCAUCCAAAACACCCAACAUUUUAUAUCAUAUAUUUCCCUCCCCUUCUUGUGUCAAAUUUGGACCAUCUAAUAGAGUCUCCUUCAAUGCAAGACACCACAUGUGAAUAAAGUAAAAAUGUACAUACUUUGCCAGCUCAUUUAUCACAGCACAUUAAGACAAUUUUUUUAUAUGAUAGGUUAUGUUUGAAUAUGCAAAUGAUGCUUUAUCUAAUUAUAUAUGCACUAAUCAGAAAUCUGUACAUUGGAUUCAAAAUGAUUAUUUUACACAGGAGAGUUUAGAUACUUAUUUAUAUCACUCCAUAAAUCAAAAAAUACUGUCAAGCCAG
ensembl:lncRNA